GUGCUUGCUUUGGCAGCACAUAUACUAACAUUGGAAUGAUACAGAGAAGAUUAGCGAGGCCCCUGUGUAAGGAUGACAUGCAAAUUCGUGAAGUAUUCCAUAUUUAA